CACUGAAUACAGCAGAGUUUGAGGCAUGCCUCAAUGUGGGGGCUGUACCUACAGACUCACAUGACCAGGAAGGUAGCAAAUAAGGCAGCGGCGGCGGGUGACAGACAAUUCCCCAGCCAGACCCGGAAGCUGUACCUGAUUUAGCGCUGCAGCGUCUCCCGUCCCUGCCUCAUACAGCCGAGCCUCUGCAUGUCAAGUCCAUCCGUUGAGGUACCCCUAUUGGAUUCUACAUGGACAAGUGGACGUGAACGCCGUCGGAUGUAGAUAACGGAUCUGAUGAAACACAAAGGAUUACCGUGUUCCAAUCUCUGAGUCAUCAAGCAUCCUUACAGCAAGUAGAGGCAGAACAUUAACCCACAGACUAGGCUGACGCAAUACCUGCAAUAGCCUAUUUCCAAGCUCUGCGAGAUAUGGACCUUCUGUGGGCUCUGACUUAUAUCCUGAGAGGUUACAAAAGUAUUCUGUACGGACUCGGAGCCAAUCACUAAGUGGAAUUCCAGCCGGAGCCAACUUGGACGAGUGACAGAAAAGUAAAAAUGGCUGCAGAGCUGAAAUUUCUCCAUGGUGCUGCCGAGAAGUCACGGGCUCUGGACCAACAGGGAAGUCGAUAAGCACAGCACAAAACAUUGAACUGAUCAUUUACAGUCUGAGUUCUUGUUGGAUUUAUUAUUAUUAUUAUUAUUAUUAUUACUAUUAUUAUUAUUAUUAUUACUAUUAUUAUUAUAAUGUUUCUUUAGGCUAAAAAAAAAGAGAAGACGAGAGAUGAUGACAGCGGCACUUGGAGUCUUAAAAACAACUCUGUAUUAAAAAUCAUAUUUCUUGGAGUGCCCAG